rnacentral:miRNA from 1 species
CUCACAAAGUGGGUGUGUAUAUG